UGUUCGAGCGUCAUUAUGACCAAUCACGCCUCGGCGUGGUCUUGGGGCCUGCCGCCGGGCAGCCCCUAAACACAGUGGCGGCGCCGCGUGGCUCUCAGCGUAGUAACUCACCUCGCUCCAGAGCCCGCGCGGACGCUCGCCAGCAACCCCUAACUCUCAAGGUUGACCUCGGAUCAGGUAGGGAUACCCGCUGAACUUAA
rnacentral:misc_RNA from 1 species